rnacentral:lncRNA from 1 species
CCUGUGUGUGUCCCCCUUUCUCUCCUAGCGGCUCCCGUGUCUGUCUGCUGAGGUGCCCUGUGCGCUGGUGCUGUGCUCUGACUACUAACCCGGCCCUACUAACCCGUUCUCUACUAACCCAGCCCUGCCGAGCUCUGGGCCCCCACUGGGGGCUGGUCCCCCUCCUCUUGGCAAGCAGAUGUCCCUCUCUGCUGCCCCAUGUUGGCUUCAUGGGAGCUCAGAGUCCACCAGGCCAGGUCAAAGGCAGGGGACGGUCUUUUGGACAUGGCCCAGAGGAGGCUGAGGUGGUCCUGGGCCGUGGGAGGCUGGGCUGAGCACGACCUUGCUCCUCUGUUGAGAAGUCUGGUUGCCACUGGGAGGGGCGGGC